GUAGUCCUGGCUGUAAACUAUGCGGGCUGGCUGUUGGGUGGGCUUAGAGCCCGCCCAGUGGCGUAGGGAAGCCGUUAAGCCCGCCGCCUGGGGAGUACGGCCGCAAGGCUGAAACUUAAAGGAAUUGGCGGGGGGGCACCACAAGGGGUGAAGCUUGCGGCUUAAUUGGAGUCAACGCCGGAAACCUUACCCAGGGCGACAGCAAGAUGAUGGCCAGGCUAACGACCUUGCCUGAUGAGCUGAGAGGAGGUGCAUGGCCGUCGCCAGCUCGUGCUGUGAAGUGUCCGGUUAAGUCCGGCAACGAGCGAGACCCCCACUUCUAGUUGCCACCCAGUUCCUCGGAAUUGGGGGCACACUAGAGGGACUGCCGGCGUAAGCCGGAGGAAGGAGGGGGCCACGGCAGGUCAGUAUGCCCCGAAACCCUGGGGCCGCACGCGAGCUGCAAUGGCUGGAACAGCGGGAUUCGACCCCGAGAGGGGAAGAUGACCCCGUAAGUCCAGCCCCAGUAGGGAUCGAGGGUUGCAAUUCACCCUCGUGAACGUGGAAUCCCUAGUAACCGCGUGUCACCAACGCGCGGUGAAUACGUCCCUGCCCCUUGCACACACCGCCCGUCGCGCCAUCCAAGGGAGUUUCUAGCGAGGCUCCUUGGGUUCACCCCGGGGAGUCGAGCUGGGGGCUCCCGAGGAGGGCGAAGUCGUAACAAGGUGGCCGUAGGGGAACCUGCGGCUGGAUCACCUCC
rnacentral:rRNA from 1 species